rnacentral:rRNA from 1 species
CCUACGGGAGGCAGCAGUGGGGAAUAUUGGGCAAUGGGCGAAAGCCUGACCCAGCAACGCCGCGUGAAGGAAGAAGGCUUUCGGGUUGUAAACUUCUUUUGACAGGGAAGAGCAGAAGACGGUACCUGUCGAAUAAGCCACGGCUAACUACGUGCCAGCAGCCGCGGUAAUACGUAGGUGGCAAGCGUUGUCCGGAUUUACUGGGGGUAAAGGGCGUGUAGCCGGGCUGACAAGUCAGAUGUGAAAUCCGGGGGCUAAACCCCCGAACUGCAUUUGAAACUGUUGGUCUUGAGUAUCGGAGGGGCAGGGGGAAUUCCUGGUGUAGCGGUGAAAUGGGUAGAUAUUAGGAGGAACACCAGUGGCGAAGGCGGCCUGCGGGACGACAACUGACGGUGAGGCGCGAAAGCGUGGGGAGCAACAGGAUUAGAUACCCCAGUAGUC